rnacentral:rRNA from 1 species
CUCGGGACGAACGCUGGCGGCGUGCCUAACACAUGCAAGUCGAGCGAGGAGAUCCUUCGGGAUGAUCCUAGCGGCGGACGGGUGAGUAACACGUGGGCAACCUGCCUCAUAGAGAGGAAUAGCCUUCCGAAAGGGAGAUUAAUACCUCAUAACAUUGCAGUUUCGCAUGGAACAGCAAUUAAAGGAGUAAUCCGCUAUGAGAUGGGCCCGCGGCGCAUUAGCUAGUUGGUGAGGUAACGGCUCACCAAGGCGACGAUGCGUAGCCGACCUGAGAGGGUGAUCGGCCACAUUGGGACUGAGACACGGCCCAGACUCCUACGGGAGGCAGCAGUGGGGAAUAUUGCACAAUGGGGGAAACCCUGAUGCCAGCAACGCCGCGUGAGUGAUGACGGCCUUCGGGUUGUAAAGCUCUGUCUUCAGGGACGAUAAUGACGGUACCUGAGGAGGAAGCCACGGCUAACUACGUGCCAGCCGCGGC